rnacentral:rRNA from 1 species
AGAGUUUGAUCAUGGCUCAGGAUGAACGCUGGCGGCACGCCUAAUACAUGCAAGUCGAACGAGAGGAAGGAAAGCUUGCUUUUCUGAAUCUAGUGGCGAACGGGUGAGUAACACGUAGGUAACCUGCCCAUGUGCCCGGGAUAACUUCUGGAAACGGAUGCUAAAACCGGAUAGGUGGCAGACAAGCAUUUGACUGCUAUUAAAGUGGCCUUGGCCAUGAACAUGGAUGGACCUGCGGUG